AUGACUGAUUUGGUAGUUAGCAAAAAGAUUUUCGGUGCACAGUUCACAUUUCGUCAAGCUGCAUCUCUGACGGAUCUGUGACCAUCAUGUCUCCUGCCAGCCGAACCACAGACAGUAUAGUGUUAUUGUAUGUGUUUCAUGUUUUCCUUCAUUCAUUAAUUCUGUGUUAAGAGUUUAUACUGGGGAGCUAAACCAUUUAGUGCUUUAUAAGUAAUUAGCAAGAUUUUAAAAUCUAUACGAUGUUUAACAGGAAGCCAAUGCAGUGUUGACAGAACUGGGCUAAUAUGGUCAUACUUCCUAGUUCUAGUAAGAACUCUAGCUGCUGCAUUUUGUACGAGCUGUAGUUUAUUUAUCAAGCGAGCAGAACAACCACCCAGUAGAGCGUUACAGUAAUCUAGCCUUGAGGUCAUGAACGCAUGAACUAACUGUUCUGCAUUUGUCAUUGAGAGCAUAUGUCGUAGUUUAGAUAUAUUUUUAAGAUGGAAGAAUGCGGUUUUACAGAUGCUAGUAACAUGGUCUUCAAAUGAAAGAUUGGUAUCAAAGAGCACACCCAGGUUCCUAACUGACGACGAAGACUUAACAGAGCAGCCAUCAAGUGUUAGACAGUAUUCUAGGUUAUUACGUGAAGAAGUUUUUGGUCCAAAAAUUAGAAUCUCUGUUUUUUCUGAAUUUAGUAGUAGGAAAUUACUGGUCAUCCAAUUUUUUAUAUCAGCUAUGCAUUCUGUUAUUUUUGUGAAUUGGUAAGUUUCGUCAGGGCGCGAAGAAAUAUAGAGCUGAGUAUCAUCAGCGUAACAGUGAAAACUAACGCCAUGCUUCCUAAUGAUAUCUCCCAAGGGUAGCAUGUACAGAGUGAACAGCAACGGUCCUAGUACUGAGCCUUGCGGUACUCCAUGUUGAACUUGUGAUCGAUAUGACAUGUCUUCGUUUACUACUACAAACUGAUAACGGUCAGAUAAGUAUGAUUUGAACCAUGACAACACAAUUCCACUAAUGCCAACAUAAUUUUCAAGUCUAUUUAAAAGAAUAUUGUGAUCAAUAGUGUCAAAUGCAGCACUAAGAUCCAGUAACACUAAUAGAGAGAUACAACCACGAUCUGAUGAUAAGAGCAAAUCAUUAGUAACUCUAAUGAGAGCAGUCUCAGUACUAUGGUACGGUCUAAAUCCUGACUGGAAAUCCUCACAGAUACCAUUUCUUUCUAAAAAGGAACAUAGUUGUGAUGAUACUACCUUUUCUAGUAUUUUUGACAGAAAAGUGAGAUUUGAGAUCGGC